rnacentral:misc_RNA from 1 species
UUGAGGAUUAUCAACACCUAUGGAUCAGUUAUUAAUCAUAAAAAUCCAAUACUAUUGAACAUUUUGAUUCCCAUUGUUCUCCUCAGUAGGAGAUCCUGUAUAAACUUGACCAUUGUUCCUUGAAUCUCGAAAUAUUGAACGCAAUGAGUUAAUACCUUCAGAUGUAGCCCCACCUAAGAUCCAAAACAGCAGAGAACUAAAAGAAUUUGCAUUCCUCGGUUGCCCAAGUUCAUGCUGUCCUG